rnacentral:rRNA from 1 species
GACGACGCUGGCGGCGUGGAUUAGGCAUGCAAGUCGAACGGUAUCAUCCUUCGGGGUGAGAGAGUGGCGAACUGGUGAGUAACACGUAGGUUAUCUACCCUCAAGACGGGGACAACCCAGGGAAACUUGGGCUAAUACCGGAUGUGAGCAACUUUUAGUUGUUUGAAAGGUGGCGUAAGCUGUCGCUUGGGGAUGAGCCUGCGUCCUAUUAGUUAGUUGGUGAGGUAACGGCUCACCUAGGCAAUGAUAGGUAGGCGGCCUUAACGGGUGGUCGCCCACACUGGGAUUGAGAUACGGCCCAGACUCCUACGGGAGGCAGCAGUCGAGAAUAGUCUACAAUGGUCGGAAGACUGAUAGUGCGACGCCGCGUGAACGAUGAAUCCCUUCGGGGUGUAAAGUUCUUUUAUAUGUGAGCAGUGCUUCUUAUAUUAACAGUAUGGGGAGAGAGAUAUUAGCAUAUGAAUAAGCAACGGCUAACUCCGUG